GUAUUCCCGGUCCUAAGGACCGGGCUCCAUUGAGGC
rnacentral:sRNA from 1 species